rnacentral:rRNA from 1 species
GAUGAACCCGCGGCCUAUCAGCUAGUUGGUGAGGUAACGGCCCACCAAGGCUAAGACGGGUAGCUGGUCUGAGAGGACGACCAGCCACACUGGAACUGAGACACGGUCCAGACACCUACGGGUGGCAGCAGUCGAGAAUUUUUCACAAUGGGCGCAAGCCUGAUGGAGCGACGCCGCGUGGGGGAUGAAUGGCUUCGGCCCGUAAACCCCUGUCAUUUGCGAUCAACCGUUAUUGUUUAAGAGAUGAUAACCUGAUAGUAGCGAAAGAGGAAGGGACGGCUAACUCUGUGCCAGCAGCCGCGGUAAUACAGAGGUCCCAAGCGUUGUUCGGAUUCACUGGGCGUAAAGGGUGCGUAGGUGGCGAAGUAAGUCGGAUGUGAAAUCUCCGAGCUCAACUCGGAAACUGCAUUGGAAACUACUUUGCUUGAGGGUUGGAGGGGGGACUGGAAUACUUGGUGUAGCAGUGAAAUGCGUAGAUAUCAAGUGGAACACCAGUGGCGAAGGCGAGUCCCUGGACAACUCCUGACACUGAGGCACGAAAGCUAGGGGAGCAAACAGGAUUAGAUACCCUGGUAGUCCUAGCCGUAAA